rnacentral:rRNA from 1 species
GAUGAACGCUGGCGGCGUGCCUAAUACAUGCAAGUCGAGCGAACAGACGAGGAGCUUGCUCCUCUGACGUUAGCGGCGGACGGGUGAGUAACACGUGGAUAACCUACCUAUAAGACUGGGAUAACUUCGGGAAACCGGAGCUAAUACCGGAUAAUAUAUUGAACCGCAUGGUUCAAUAGUGAAAGACGGUUUUGCUGUCACUUAUAGAUGGAUCCGCGCCGCAUUAGCUAGUUGGUAAGGUAACGGCUUACCAAGGCAACGAUGCGUAGCCGACCUGAGAGGGUGAUCGGCCACACUGGAACUGAGACACGGUCCAGACUCCUACGGGAGGCAGUAGUAGGGAAUCUUCCGCAAUGGGCGAAAGCUUGACGGGGCAACGCCGCGUGAGUGAUGAAGGUCUUCGGAUCGUAAAACUCUGUUAUUAGGGAAGAACAAAUGUGUAAGUAACUAUGCACGUCUUGACGGUACCUAAUCAGAAAGCCACGGCUAACUACGUG